UUUUGUUGUUCUGUGAAAUAUUACUCACAAAACAUACCCAACACGAUAUGUUUUGUGACGUUACCAUUGAAAACAUUACCAAAUUAACGCACGCCACAAAACAUACCCACAUUCUGUGCCGCAUGCACUAUCUGUGAUCUUCUGUUUUGUUGUUGGUUAACGUGUUGUUUUUAAUGUAGUAACGUAUUUAGUAUAAUGGAAUAUUAAGAUUCCUCUUUAUAUUAUUAUCUUUGAUUUUGUUGAACCAUAUUUCAAGAAAAAUUUUUGUUAAGAAUAAGGAAAAAAAAACAGUAAAAUAAAUGAGUGACGCUUUAUAAUUUUACCAGUAAAUUAUUAAUAUGGGAAGUUAUUGGAAGUGAAAAGUCGAAUAUAAAUUGUUCAAUAUAUCAAGGAAUUUAUCUCGAUGUCUACAAUAAUAUGAAAGAAACUGACUACGAUCCUUAGACAAAAAUUUAGAGCUCUUGAUGGAAAAAUCAAAACCGAACAUAAUGAUGAUUAUUUAUUUUAUUUUUGAAGAGCUUAGUGAUAAGAGUUUGUUAUAUGCGAAUAAAUUAUAAACUUCUACAAGAAACACAAAAAAUGGAUAAUCGUCUUUCUUUUAUCUGCACAACAACGAGUCAUCCCACAAGUCCCCACCACUGCCAAUUUAUCACAUUUUUGUCGUUCUGGCCUUGUUGUUUUUACCGUCCAGUUGGAAAUUUUGAAGCAAGAAUUUGAAUCUUUCUAAUGACAUUGUCAUCCUGAAUAUUUCGAAUCCCAUGCCAUCUGUUCGAAAGAGAUCGAGACUGUUGUGACGAUUUUCUUUCAUUUUACCAGCAAUAUAAUUUUCAUUUUCAUAAAAGUUUCUUGUAAUUGGUGACAUCUUUUGAUUUGAAGCAAGGCUCACGAUUUUUUCUUCAUUCAAAUGCCUGUAAUCCAUCAAGACCUGACUGUUGCCGUUCAAGAAGAGUGGGACAAUAUGGCUGACCAUGUUAACGAUAACUUGAUUCGGCGGAUGCCGAGACGCGUUGGCCAGUUGAUUGCAAGAAAAGGCGGUCAUACCAACUAUCAAUUUGUUUUUUUAUUACAUUAUAUCUUUUUGACACAUGCCACCCACAAUUUUGAACCGAAGAGAGAUGUUUGGGGUAGGAAGGUACCAUUGGGCUGUAGUGUGGCACAAUCGUAAAUUUUCGGAAAAAUUGUAAACCGUCGGUCUCUGAGAUGGUAUGUUAGCUUCAUAAGGUUAAGAAAAAAUCGUUUGAGCAGAUUGCGAUAAGUGCAGUGUUAAGAAGGGUAGUACUAGAAUAAUUUAAAUGUUAUGUUUUUUUUCUUUGUUUCUAAUAAAAUUAUUCAUUGUCUUUUUUUUUACCACAACUCUUAGAAGUAUAAUUAGUUGAGUUAUUAUAUUCAACAGAAUAUUUUCUGAUAAAUUAAUCACAAUACUAUUGUCUUGUUUAUUUUCUUGUUGUACAAAACCGUUCUUCGUUCCUUAGUCUUCUAUUUUUCAAGAAAAAUAUUUCUAAUUAAGUAAUGGGUCAUCAAUAAUUAUUGCUCAUAGCAUUAACUUGAAAUUUAUAAGUUAAUACACGAUUAUUGUUGUUUUGAGACUGUGCUUUAUGUCAGGGACUCCCAAACUCCUUUUUUUCCUGUUGGUAUAAAAUACCAAAUUUGGUAUCAUUCCGUCAUAAAAAUUCAGCAGAAUUAAGCAGGUAUGUAAUUCAGUGAAUAUAAAAUUGGAAAGUUGAAAAAACUGGUUAAACCUGGUGAUUUUCUACAAAUCCAGUAGCUGCAGCCUCGUUUCUCUUUUCUUUGUUUUGUCAAAAUGUUUGCAACCUCACUGAAAAUUGUUCGACUAGAUCUGAUUAUAUUUUCGCAACAUUGCACAAUACAGGAUGCUGUUUCAAUGUUGAGUUGCAACUAGAACAUCUGAUUCCAUUAAUUAAACUUCUACUUAGAUCGUUCGUAUUGAAAGUGAUCAACUCUUUGAGUAUCAUAUUGGCUUCUUCCAUGGCCGUGAUAUAAUACGGAUUCAUUAUCCAAUGAGGAAUGUGUAAAUAUCCUCAAAUCUAUGUUUGACAGAGUGCUUUCAGGAUAAUAUUAGUUUGAAAAUUCCUUUUUUCCAUAUUCACCCGACAACGAAGACAGCUUUUUACAUGAAGAUUUUACAUGAGAUAUAUGUAAAAUUGUAAUGAAAUUGUAAUUAUAGCAGAACUACAUGAAAUUCUCAAAUAGCUACAACUUUUUAACAAUGACGCUUUUUUACGUUUACGAAACAGUUAACUAGUAAUGAGAAUUAACGUGUAGAGCGAGCAGAUUUCGAAUGUCUAAAUCUCAGCGAAGCUACGCUUCUCAUAGAGAUUCAUCAUGCGUGACUAAGUUCAAUUUUGUUGUUAAGUUUGAAGUAGUUAUCGAACUUUGAUUAUUAUGCUACCUCUUCGCAAUCCUUGACCAUAAGACUAGCGCCAACAGCAGUUAUUGAGUACCUUGAGGAGUUUAAAGACAUAGUAUGAGACGGGACUCAACUUCAAAGCAUUGUGUAUCAAAAGUUUUGAAUCAAGAGAGGAACAAGGUGCACCAGAUUUCAAAUUUGACAAACAACGGUUCUGCAACAAAUAAGAUUCAAUUGACGGUUAUCGGCUAAUUGGCAACACCACGCUGUUUUACAAAAAUGCUUUUUUCAAAAACUAGUUUGAAAAACAAUUUGUGACAAAAGUUAAGGCUUUUAGAAAAGAAAAUGGAUUGCAUCUUAGUGCCUUGAUAUUCGUAGGCAAUGGUCCGUCAUAUCCAGAAUAAAUGGAAUUUGCUUGCGGUGAUAUGAAAGCUAUUUUUCUCCUACUAAACGUCACUUCAGUUUAGCUGCCAACUGACCAAUGAGAUUUGCAGGCUUUUACAGAAAUUACAGAAAAAUGCUUCCUCGUAGCUUCCUCAAAGAGAAUGAAGAACUGACAAUCUUGCGUAAACUCAAUAAACUCGUCAUCAAAUAUGUCAUUUAUUUUGUAGAACAAAUUAGGAUAAAACACAAGAAAUUUUUGCAGAAAUCCAUACAUAAAGAGACUAAUAAUCCGCAGAAAAAACUAAAUUGGAAAAUAAGACUUCGAUUAGUUGCUUACCUUAUAAUUGUCCCGUCAUGCGAUUUCUUCGGAAAUAAUAAGAUAAAUUCGAUGUUGAAAAAUAUAUUAACAUUAAUUUUAUUACAUUAUUGAGGCUAUAAAUGUUAAUCUGAAGAUUAUCAAAUUGCAUCUUAUGUCGAGAGUUUGAAAUUUUCUACUGGCUUCCAUAAUUAUUUUUUUCUCAUAUUCAGCUUCUUUCAGGAGGACCAGAUAUGUCAUUGUAAAGUUUUUUGUUGCACCACAUACGAACAGACAUAAAAUAAAUGAUUUCAGCUACAGUUAGGAGAGAGAAUCCUGUAAAUAGACCUAAUAGUCCUCCGAAAUUAGAUAUAAAAUCAAAUAAACCAUACAUUUCGCUUUUUUCAUACGAGAAGAAUUUAUCGUCUUUGAAGUAAAUUUUCAAUCUUGAAAAUUCGCUGAAAACAAAUUAAAAAUCAAAAUUAUCAGAAUUAUCUAGUAUAUAUAAUACUAGGAGAUAAAUAUCCAAGAGAUUAGAAAUUCUUAAAUAAAUUUAAUUAAAUUAGAAAGUGCCAUUGCAAAGAUAGGCUUUAUUCUGACUUUUACUACACUAUAUAUUUAGACUGAACGUGUUUAGUAGAAAAUGCGAGCAAAUUACAUAAGAAUUUCAAAGGAGGUGCAAAUAUGGAAUACCAUUUUCUUGGUAUAUAAAAAAAUGUUUGUUAGUGAAUAGAAUCAAGCCAAUGGUGAUAAAAAGAAGAAAGUAAGUUCAAAUGACCAUCUAAAAUAUUUCUUUACCUGGGAAAAACCAGGGUUAUGAAGAGUACACAGAAAGUGAUUAAAAAGGAUUGAGCGGAAUUAGUCAUAAAUUUAAAUCGAAUAGGUCCGCAACUCAUUACUGUUCAAGCUUUACAAUCUAUACCAAUGUUGACAGUGCGAAAAAUGUUUACUUGAAAUACUUUAGAUAUGAGGGUAUUAUAACUCGAUUCAUAGGUAAAACUUUCUCAAAUAAAAUCAAACUUAACCUUUAGCUACUUGCGCCUUAAAAUAUAACAGUACUCGGAUGGUGUAUUUUGUACACCGUCACCAAAAUGUACUCAAAACACAGCAGAUAAAAUAAAGAUGUUUUCAAAAAAUGCUAAAGUUGUUUCAUAAAUGUUUAUUGAAUAAAAAAUAUUAUUAUAAAAAUGUUAUAAAAAACAUAAAUUUGUGAAACAAAACAUGUUCUAACUAAAAACUGGAAAGCAAGUUCAGAACAAAAGAAAAACGCUCAAUAGUUUAUGCAAAGGACUACUCUCUACAAUCCUCAUCAUCGGCAAUGUUAUUGCACUUAGGAUAAGUAAUGAUACUUAUCGCAUGUUCUUUGCAUACUGGUUUGUGACAUGUAUGACAAGAAAUUGUUGUCACCCUGUUUUUCUUCCUACCACAACAGUAGCACCUCCCUCGUAUUUUUGCUAGAGGCUCUUCCUCAUGAUCCUCUUGAGGAGGUUUGUACUUAGUUAGGAAACGUUGGAUAUUCAAUGGUAAUGUCCUUAUAGUAGCUCUUUCUGAAAGGUGUGGUUUUAUCAAAGACAUCGCCAACUCUUUUAGAAAAACUCUUCUGUAUUUGUGACCAUCCUCGAUGUGUAUGGAGUUAUAUAAAAUUUGACUGUUUAUACCUGCUAUGGUUACCAACUGAAAAAAUAAAGGCCAUCUUCUCGUACACUAAUUUUUCUUAACAUUCACAUGUUCAACUGCCCUCUGAUACAUAAGAUUCAAUUCAUUCAAAUAUGACGUAUAGUUCACUUUUCACUAUCUCCAUUCAUUCACUAUAAAAGUACGGCUGCAAUAGCUUCGUUUUAUACACUUUCAUCACAUUUUAGAAUCUUCCAUUCCUGGAAAUUUCUAAUUUGCCGUGAACAAACAAAAAAGCUUUCCUAGAAAUUGUUUCUAUAAAAACAGUCACAUAAACAAUAUAAAUAGGUCUCUCAAAAACCUAAUGUAAAUAAGCUGUCCCGUCCAUAAACUUUAGUUUCGAUAACAUAUUGAAACAUUAUAUUUCACAUGGUAUGAAAAACUACUAUCUACAACUAUUUGGCAUGUAGUCACAGGUCGAUCGUGCAAUAUGAGACAUUUUCAGCAUUUUUAUGUAUAAUAGUUACAGACAGAUCUUAUACAAACAUCAUGUUGUAAUGAUGAUCAGAGCGGUUGUAUACCGAUUUUCUACAAAAGUUUGCAUAAGAGUUUUUAUCAAUAAGUUUCGGCCUUUGGUCGAUCAGUUUAUGCCGUUUCUUAGUAGAAUUUACUUCUUCUAAAAGUUACGCAAUCUCCUAAAUUGCAGUUUUGGUAAUUUGGUUGUGAUAUUGAGAUAAUCUAAUUAAUGAGCUACCUCUUCAUAAGCUCUUUUACAAUCACAGAAACCUUUCAUCAUAAGAAUGAUUAUUUCUUCCUGCUCGGCACACAUAGUGGAAAUGUAGAAGCUCAAAAAUUUAUGUUACUAUAUGAACACACUAUAAGAUACAUUGACCGACGCCUGCUAUAUUGUCGCAUACAGUCUGUCAAGACAAAGUAUUCUGCGAUGCAGAAUAAAGUGUCGAAUUAUUGGGGAAAGUACCACAUUUAUUCUUACAAAGGUGAAUGUUUCAGGAUAAAACAAUUAUUAACAAAGAAAUUUGAAAAAAAAAUACUCACAAUUGGUAAAGAACAUCAUCUGACAUAUUUAAAUCCCUUUUAAACUUUUUAUUUGCUUUCAUAAAUUCUCUCCAUCCCCAUUGAGUUCUGGUAGUAGUUGUUUGAUAAAUAAGUUGACUGCAGAGAGGAUAACAACUACAACUUUGUGAGUUUUCUCUCAAACCCAUUUCAAUAUCCAAUUCCAAUGUUUGGAGCUCUCCUUAAACAUUUUUUUUAAUUAAUUUUCGAACUUAUUGUAAAAUAACACACUCAUUCUGAGCUUAACAAAUCUUUUGUCCACAAAAUAAAUCUAUUGAAACGGAGCUUCAUGUAGUAUUUGUGAUAAAAAUAAUUUACUGAAAGUCUUAGCUUAAAGCUACAUAAUAAUACAGACUUCUUCUGGAAGAAUAAUUCACAUUAUAUACAGAGUUUCUCAGUUAAUAUUAGAUUCAUGCCAAUCACCGUAGCUGUAGAGGCCUAGCUCGUUUAAUUUUCUUAGAAAAUCCCAAACGAGUUUGAUUUCAUGAUUUUAGAGGCUAUCGGAAAGGAUAAUGAUCUCCUGUUUGCGAUAGUUCUUUUCUAGAUUUAACUGGGCACAUUUUUCAAUUACAUAAAUUUUUGCUUAAAAAAUGCUUGGUGUUUCCGUAUACCAUUUAAUGGC